UCCAAUGACAGGGCUGCUUGGGUGU
rnacentral:piRNA from 1 species